UCGGGGUUCGUUCAACGGUAGGACGCGAGUUUUUGGUACUCGCUAUGGGGGUUCGAUUCCCUCACCCCGAACCA
rnacentral:tRNA from 1 species